UUCAGCAAUUGUUCUAUAAAGAGCUGUCAAAUAACUCCCCUGAACAGAGCAAUUAUCUGGAUGCUGUGCAGUAGAUUCUUUCUAGGCUUCUUCAGGCUUGUUUCCUGUCUAGUGAUUUGACAUAGAUAUACCCUAUUCUCUCAUUUAGUGUAAUUCUACCACUGAACUAGUUACUGAUCUAAUGAAACAAAUGCACUGCAAGUUUCCUGCGCCCAUGGUGUACCUAAUAAAAGCUUUGUGGAAACAUGGAGCACAUAAGAAAUCAGAAAUCAAUAAGUGUUUUUGUAGAAUAAAUAAAAUAUUGCUAAAUGCAUAACAUUGAUCUUAAUCCUACAAAAGCUAUGUAAUGACAAUUACAAUUUACAAUAAAAGUGUGUGGCGUUCAUCCAGAUGUAAAAUCACUUUUUCAGUAAGUGGGAUGGCAAAAAUUUUCGUUCAUUGUCUAGAAGAGAAGCUAUGAAUAAGACAAAUAAAUGAAUUCUGGGUCAGCUUUUCUGGAUAACAGAGAAAUGAGUGAGUACAUAAGUAUUCCUUUCACUUAAUAUUCAAGUUUCAAGUUGGCUUGCUAUAUCAAUGAGAAUCUAAUUUCAAAUUUCUAUGAACAUUCACAGAAAUUCUUCUGCUGGCAAUAUUGUAAUAAGCAAAUUCACGUAAAAGAGAGGCAAUCUAGAUAAUUUGUCCUGAGGUAAAGUGGUUGAAGUGUCAUAGUCUACAUUCCUGCUCAAUAUGUAUAUUACAUAUACAUGUAUGUUAUAUAUGUAAUAAUAUAUGAUAUAUAUAUUUAAUAAUAAAUGUAAUAUACAUACUUAUUAUAUAAUAUUAUAUACAGCCAUUAAUAUCUUCCAAAAACUCUCCAUGUUUUGUCUUCCUAAUUUGAUUAACUUUGGAUAGCUAGGUUAAUAAAACACCUAUGUUAUUUGGAAUAUUGUUCAUGCUUUGUUUCUGAAACAGUUUUUAAACCACUUUGUAUGAGGAGUUUGGGAACAAAAAUUGCAUUCUGAUGAGAAAUGGGCAUAGAUUAUGUUUCACAAAAAGGGAGGAAAAGUAUUUCUAUGACUUUUAAAUUUAAGAAGAGAGAUCACUAGCAGUAUCAAUGAGGGACCAAGUCUCUUUCUUAUAAAUAGAUCUCAAAGAAUUCUGAGAACAGUGAGAUUCCUUGAAUUAGUUUAUCAGUAACUUUCUGUGGAUUUUUCUAGUUUUUCUUUACUACUGCAAUAUGUUUUAGACAAUGUUUUUAUUGCAAAUGUAGCUACAUAUAACUCUAUUUUCUCUCAUGAUUUUUCUGUUACAUAUUUUCAUUUUUGCCUUUUAGUAUGAUGUUAUCUUCUUUUGGAGAAGUUGCCACUAAUAGAUUGCUUUGAACCAGUACCUGAGUGAAGUUUAAGGUUUCAGGUCUUAUUUUAGAUUUUGCUUCAGCUGGUCUAAAUGGUAUUCUUGUCCCCCUAGAAAUUAUUUUAGAUACAUUUUUCCAUUAAAGUUGGAUUUUGUGGUUGUUUUUUUUUUUUUUUCAUAGAGAUGCACUGAAAGCAGUAUGCAUAGUGCUGAACCACAAAAUAAAUCAUUUUGUCUUCUAACUCCCUUCUCUGAGGCUGGGAUGCUCACAAGUCCCUAAAAUCACUUAAUUAGACAGUGAUACAUGCUAUGUGAUUACCACUUGCAGAAUUUGAAGCAAAAAUAAUAAUAAAGAAAAAAUUUCACCUGUAUUGACCCUUGUGUAAUUAUACUGUGCAGUUUUUCCUACCUUGAUUAAUAGCCAUGACAGGGACCAUUUGGCCAGAUAGUUAAAACUAGUAAUAAUGGAACAAUUUUUAAAUUUACCAUCUGUGUUCUCAAAAGUUCUCCUUAGGGCUUUAUAGUAUAGAAGUGUGUAGUUUCUGUUGAAAAAGCUUUUAACUGUAUUCAUAACCCAAAACUCAGAACUGUUUUGAUUGUAUAAGAUGUGGGAAAUUAUGAACACAGUGUGUAAAUAAAUAUGACUUUUUUCUAUGAUAGCAGAAUAAGAGCAAGUGUAAAAAUAAUAAUAUUAUAUAUUCUUUGAAUUUCAGACAAAGUAUUUGGAGUUGAAUUCAUUAUCAGAGGCUCGUUUUCUGUGUGUGAUGAGUUUUCCUAACUUAGUGAUGCUUACAGUAGUGAAUAUGCUAUGGAUCCUUGUGGAGAAUGUUCCACCUGCAUUUGUUGCAUGAAAAGAAGCACGGUAUCAAGCUCCUACAAGUACAGUCACGUAAGAGGGUAAGAGGGGUCACAGAUGAAGUACUCACAUGAGAGGUUUAAGAGAAAAGCUUCACUGGAAAAUUAUCUGGUUAUUGACACUUAAAUGUUGAAUGCAUUUAAUGCUCUUUGAAAAGUUUGAACUUAUCAUUAGGUCCGAGUAUACAAAAGGUGAAAAACUGUAACUGAUGGAAUGCUAUUGAAUUAAAUUCGCAACAAUCUUAAAUCAGACUGUAAAACUGAUUUUUUUUUUCUUUUUCCCUGUUUGAUACAGUGUCUUGAUGGCUAUUUUAGAAAAAAAGGUACUGCAGUUCUACAUGAGAUAGUAAAUAAAUAUUUCCUAUGCUUUCUUGAAUACUCUUAAGCCUUGCACUUAAAAAAACUCUUAGAAAUAUGUUAUCUUAUAGAUUGAAAAGAACCACACCAUAGCAAGCAACUACUGGUGACUUUCUUCACAAGACAGGUUCUACGGAUUAUUCCAGUUAUAUGUAUAAUAGCUUUCAGCACAUUUUAAAGCAUUAGAAAUCUACUAUAAGGAUAUUUAGACAGAAAUGGAACAUGUUUAGUGGGUGAAGAAGCAAUAUUAUGUUCAUUCAUGCAUUCACUUUAACUCAUGAGAGAAUAUUAGAAGCUCUUAGAAACAAUACAAAACAAAAAGGAUGACAACAACAAAAAACAAGAACAAAACUUUAGACAUUGUUUUAUCCAUGAAAUUCAGCUGUAAUACAAGUGCUGCUCCAAAAGAAAUGCUUCCUCUUUUAUGAUGUUGGCCCACAACAUCAGAGGCGAAUGUUAGUGGUAUGGCAGUAGAGGCUGAACUCUUCCCGCUAAUAUUACAUUCCAUUUUUUGCCUCAUGACAAAUGGCAGCAGAAGAGCAGUCUGAAAAAAUGACUUCUGACAUGGAAGUGUGUAUGAAGCAAAGGUGUGUCACUGAAUUCCUCCAUGCAGGAAAAAUGAUACCCACUGACAUUCCUUGACACGUGGUGAACACAUAUGGAUACCAAACAGUGGGUAUGAGCACAGUGUAGCAGUGGGUAGUGGUGACAGCGACAGUGGGCUCCCCUCUGCUUGUGCAGAUUUUCACGAGCAUGACUUGCAAGCUCUUCUUCAUGGUGGUGACUAGGUAGAUAAUGUCUGAUAGCUGAGAAUUUGCUCUAUCAAACAGUGCUGUUGUGCUCUUUUUAUCAGGUGUAAUUCCCAUGGAAAUAAAUAGGAGGCAUUACUUUCAGAGUGAACUAUGUAAUAAUCUUUGUAACAAUGACACAAUUUCAGUCAGUUGGUAUAGUACCAUAUGGCUGCUAUGAGGAAAAGGUGUUGCAUACAAGUUUUGAAAGCUCACAUUUCUCAGAUGUACUAAUUGCAGCCUAGCUGUUGUAGUUUGCCUGUGGAUGGUGGGCUGAAUAAAAUAGGCCAUAUGGAGUGAUGGCAUCCAUACAAAUUGUUUGCAUAUAGUGAAUUAAUGCAAACACCAGGUAUUUUCAGAGAAGACAUCAGGAAGUAAAAUUAUCCUACCACUGUAAAUUCCCUCAAUCCAAACCUGCAGAGUAGAAGUAACUCUGCACAUGUUGAAAGUUAAGUGUUUAGCAAAUUAGGUGUUUCUUUUUCUUUUUCUUUCUUUCUUUUUUUUUUUUUUUUUUUUUUUUGCACCUGUUGUACUUUGAAAUAGCAAAGAGAAGUGCCUAAUCACCAUCUGACUUCACCAUCCUCCUCCGAUUUGUAUUCUUUCUUAAUAGGAAGGAAUGCAUAUGUUUUGUUUAACAGAAUAGUCUAUUAACUCUUAUUAGUGCAAAGCAGAUGAGCAUCCUUUUUGGUUUUCUCACAGCUCUUGGCUCCUGCCAAGGUAAGUAGGUAAGAGGCUGGAUGCUUAAUCAGGGCAUGAAUCCUAGUGUCCUCAGAUAUUCUGGGUAGUUCAUGACAAUGAACAUCAGAGGACUCAUUUCCAUUACAGCACAAAAUUAGCUCUUUGAUGUCUAUUGUUCUCUAAUUUCUCACUCAUCAUUCUAGAAAUGUAAUCCCAGGUGCCUCAUUCCUAUGCAAGCAGAUGUGGAAGCUCAUAAACUGAAUUGCAACCUGAAGGAAUGAGUUGUUCUUGAAUCUUUUUGUUGCCAGGGAAACUACAUUCUCAGUCUGUGUAUAUUUACCAUAGCCUUUUUUCCAAAGCUGUCUAAAUUUCAUGUUCUGGCACUUGGGAACAGAGUGAAAAAGAGAAAUAGUAAUAUGUGUCUCCUAACUCUUACCAUUGAUUUCUUAAAUAUUUACAAAAAUAGACCAUGCAUUUUAUUUCAGAACAUAUAUGACUUCACUAGGUAAAUAGACAAGCCUAUGAAGUAUUUAAUAUACAUGUUUUGGUCCUUUUGGCUGUUUCCCUGUGCUUUACUUAGAAGUCAGUUAAAGUACACUUCUUUAUGGCCUGAAUGUCUAAAUAGGUAUUUCAAAAUAAAAAGUUGUGUCAGGAGUGACUAUGACUUGACUUUUCCCAAACUGCUCAAUGACUCACAAACAGAACGGAGGCUGUUGUUACAUCAUGGAUCACUGAUGGAGACACAAUGGAUCUAAGGAACUAUUCUUUAUGGCAAAAUUUUUAAAUUUCUCAAUAAUAGUUCAGAAUAGCCAGUUCAAUUUCUGUAUGUACAGAAGAAACUCUAUUUUAAAUGCCAGCAUUGGUAUUUAUGGAACAUCUACUCAAAAUAAUGUUUA
ensembl:lncRNA